AGACGUUUCACUCCCCAAAUCAAGUGCCGUUUCCUCCUAGUUAAAACCUCACUUACCCCUCUCUAUUUCUCCUCUAUUCUGAAUCCAAGACGCCGCAAGGCUGCUGUGAAUUUCUUCGCCAAAGUCCGCCACUACUGCUGCCUUCCCACGUUGAUUGGAAACAUGAAACCGGAACUCGACCGGAGAACCGCCACCACUCGUUGAAGACCAGCCGCAAUCUCCUCACUGCUCCAGAAGCAAACCACGACGACGAGCCAAUUGAGUCAUCUUAUUUGCCCCGUAAAAACCACGCUGAAGCAAGGAGAGGAAGCCAUCUAGAUACAUGGUCAACGUCCUGGAACACCCACAGCCGCUUGAACGGAGAGACACGUGGUUGUUGUGAGAGUUGAAAGGCCUCGAUUUACCAAAAAGGCAAGUGACAUUCAAUCCUACCUAUUUUAUAUUAUGCAUUAGUGUUUUUCAACUAGUAUGCAGGAUAGGUUUUUUGUUUUCAAAAGUGAAG